GGGCCCAUAGCUCAGUGGUUAGAGCAGGCGACUCAUAAUCGCUUGGUCGGGGGUUCAAACCCCUCUGGGCCCACCA
rnacentral:tRNA from 1 species